GCACGAUCCUAGGAGGCUUCUUCAGAGCGCGCAGCCGGCGUCGCCGAGGAUCCGAUGGAGAAGGCGCGGCCGGUCCCCGCCGCUGGCAUCGUCGGCAGACAAAAGCGCAGGAAUAAUCGCCAAAUUAGCCGCGUCGGAUGGUCUCUGCCACGUGGGACUGGAGAGAAAGGAGGAGUCGACACCUGCGCUAAGGUCUGGACCCCAUGUAAGCACGACCAAAGGUUGUUUGGACCCGGCGGAACUUUUUUACUGUAAAAUAAAGCAAACGCAAAUGAUGUCCCUCACUGGAUUUGACUGGAGUCUAAAGUCAUAAGACACAAAGGUGUUGUAUAUUCAAUGUACUUGAACCUCUGCUGGAACUGAGCUCCACAGCCAAGAGUCACUGAAAAGUCAUUCGGCCAUUUUACAUUUCACUGUUGCGUCUCCUGCUUAUGUUAAUAUAUGCAGAGUCACAUUUGCAUAAAUAACUAUUGCUCAUAACAACAGCUGUGCUCUCAACAAAGACUUAACAGUGGACGUUUAGCACCAGUGGCUUCUCCUCCAGACGAAGAACCGCUGGACUGAGCCUGAAAGACUCGGGUCUCUGUCUUGACAGGAAUUUUAUGCACUUUUACCUCCUCCUUUAUUUUCCUAAUUAUUUGUAUUGGGUUUAAAAAGCGGAGACGUCAGCUCUGCCGUGAAAACCGAUGAUUAUCACUGACAAGAAGAUUCACGAUGAAAGCGGCUCUGAAUCGCUUCAUCAUUUUGGACUUUCUAAACCCACUGUGUUUGCCCACAGGCAAUAAAACAUCCAAGUGUCAGCA